rnacentral:lncRNA from 1 species
CUGCUGCAGAGCGCUCUGAUAGAAGGAAUGAUUAGAUAAGACUAUUUAAUAAACUGUUUCACAAAAAAAAUGUCACGUCAAGUGUGAUUUUCAAGUAUUGAAGUAUAGAGGGUGAGGGCUAGAAAUGCAAGAAGUUUCUUCUUUUCUCAUUUAGCUACAGCAGGAUUCGGAGAAGUGAAUUUUGCAAUGGAGUAUUGUUUUUUUUGUCCUUUCUGUUUUUUAGAGAAAGAGUGGUAGCAGUGUGGACUACCUGCACCCACAUCUCCCCUUCAACACUCUUUAGCACCAACAUAUUCACUUCCAGCUUCCAGAACAUUGUGGAUGCUUAUGGUGUGGCAUGUUACAGAGAGGUUAAUCCAGGUAACUCUCACACACAGUCACAUAGAACCAGAUGCAAGUCAUUCUAGUUAAAGUUUGAGAUAAACAACCUAUGGAAGAUCCGAAUUCCCAUUGCAGUAAAAAAAAAAGAAAAAAAAAGGGUUUUGUUUGAAUAUAUUUUAUAAUAAAAUUUAUUUAUGUGAUGGCAAAGCUGCCUUUUCAGCAGUCAUUACUCCAGUCUUCAGUGUCACAUGAUCCUUCAGAAAUUAUUGUAAUAUGCUGAUUUGCUGCUCCAGAAACAUUUCUUAUCAUCAGUAUUGAAAACAGCUGGGAUGCUUUUUUUCCGUCACUGAUGAAUAUAAAGUUCAAAAGACAGCAUUUAUUUGAAAUAUAAAUCUU